rnacentral:tRNA from 1 species
UAGCUCAGUUGGUUAGAGCGCCACGUUCACACCGUGGAGGUCACAGGUUCGAAUCCUGUGCUGCCCA